rnacentral:rRNA from 1 species
UACGGAGGAUCCGAGCGUUAUCCGGAUUUAUUGGGCUUAAAGGGUGCGUAGGCGGCCUGUUAAGUCAGGGGUGAAAGACGGUAGCUUAACUAUCGCAGUGCCCUUGAUACUGAUGGGCUUGAAUGUACUUGAGGUAGGCGGAAUGUGACAAGUAGCGGUGAAAUGCAUAGAUAUGUCACAGAACACCAAUUGCGAAGGCAGCUUACUAAAGUAUGAUUGACGCUGAGGCACGAAAGCGUGGGGAUCAAACAGG